UAAGUACUCCCUCCGUCCGGAAAUACUUGUCCUCAAAAUGAAUAAAAUGAAUAUAUCUAUAACUAAAAUAAGUCUAGAUACAACCAUUUCGAGGACAAGUAUUUUUGGACGGAGGGAGUAUCUG
rnacentral:pre_miRNA from 1 species